rnacentral:misc_RNA from 1 species
UUUCCGUAGGUGAACCUGCGGAAGGAUCAUUAAUGAAUUUAGGGUGGCUGCUUCAACCAGCGCCCAAACCUUCAUUUCCAACCCUGUGCACUAUUGUUUACGCGUGUUUUGGCUUCGGCUAUUCGCGCUUCAUUUUAAAACUCUUGUAUCAGAAUGUAUAAAAACAAAUAACAAAAGAAAAACUUUCAACAACGGAUCUCUUGGCUCUCGCAUCGAUGAAGAACGCAGC